AAAUGAUGUUGUACAUCAUGCAGAUAGCUCAGAAGAAGAAGCAGGAAUGUUUGACUGGAAAUAUAAACAAUGUUGUACAUAAUGCAGAUAGCUUAGGCAAAAAAGAGAUUGGUGAAAUGGAGAAUGAGACUAACUAGGGUGAAAAAAAAUGAAUAUUAAUAUGUGAAUGGUACUUUGUUUAACAUCUACCUGUUUCUACAGAUACAGUACAGACGCAUUUAUAAAUGGGCUUGAUGUUUUUUUGAAUUAAAUAUGUUGUAUUGA
rnacentral:lncRNA from 1 species